AAUCCCAACGCUCUCGAAACAAAUGGCGCUGAAACGAAAAUCUCAAAACCCUUGAGCUGAAACGAAAUCCCCAAAAUGAAAAUCUCAAAACCCGCUGAAACGAAAUCCUCCAAAAUGAAAUUCCGAUAUCCCUAGCAAUUAGUCGGCUCUCUCUCUCUCUCUCUCUCUCUCUCUCAUGUCGACGCAAGGGUUAGGGUUUGCUGCUGUUCGAGCUGAGACAGCUUCUCUCUCUUCUCUAUCUCGACGCACCACCGGUCCACCAUCGACGACCACCCCAACACUGCCCCACCACCACCGACGCAUUACCACCACGAUCUCCUCUCUUCUCUCUCCUCCAUCUCACACACUGUCCACUCAUCGCAUCACCACAGACAAGCAACCCCAAACCCGUCCCUACCACCACCGACGGGCAACCCUAAACCAGACCCUACCACCACCGACGCACCCCACCAUCUCUUCUCUCUCACAGGCUUUUUUGUAGCAGUUUGAUCUAGAAGAGCUUCCGAGUAAGCCGGUUGAGAAGGAAGCAAGUUAUGGUCAUUAGUCCCAUACACUAGCUGUAUACACGGAAAAGAUAACUCGUGGUAAGAGACGGUUGUAAUGGCCCCUUUGAUCAGGCUUCUCCACACGCACAUCAAAAAUCAUCGCACGCAAGUCAUGAGACUCAUGAUAUUGAAUGUUCUAAUGGAGGUAAUAGGACAGUCUAGUUAAAAGCGUAAUUUCAACCCGUCAUUUUGAAAGCUCUUUCGGGAAGAUGUUAAGGAUGGUAUCGUCGACUUAUGAUUAGUUUUCUAUUCCAUGUAGUUUAGGCAAUACGCAUACUUGUUGGGUUGUGAUAUUUUGGCAGAGUUAAGAACAUUUCAUGUACUUUUGAAUGUUGACAUGUUAUGGAACAUACCUUCUACUUGUGGUAUUUCCUAUGGAUUAUUUGUUUUUCCAAUGAAGAACGAAUUAUUUUGCUUUUCGAUAUUUUUGAGUUCUUAGGAAAAGUUAGUGAUUAGAUAUGUGGCGAAAGUGGUUAAUAUCUAUUUUAUUAGGGCUACUUGAAUGUGUAGUAAUUAUUUUUUUGAAAAAAAAAUGAACCUACAUCAGCGUUUUUUAGUGCUGGUAAAAGUUUAUGAAAACAUAAAUAAAUUAGAGCUACACCAACGUUUUUGGCGUUGGUAAAAGUGUGUCUAUACCAAUGGCCAAAAGCGCUGGGAAACAAA